GGAACACAAGGAGCGGGCAGGCAGAAAGGCAAGGGAAGCCAUGAUGGAUCCGAGCGCCACAAGCAGGGCCGCGCCUGCCGCCGGACGCCGGUUCAGAAGGAAGUGAAUCUGCUGAUAACCAAACCAAGCAACAUACAGGAAAAAUGCCUAUUGCAGGAGGACAAGAUUAUGAGAUGAGGACUGCUUUCAGAUUUGGCUGUGAUGGUGCCCAGAUGGUGAAGAAGCACAAAAGGCAGGUUUGACUGUAAAGCGACUCAUUCUGUCAAUACACCAAACAUAUUGGUGAUAAGUACUUUAAUCGUUCCAGUCCAUGGAUCCACUCCAAACAAAUUACUGGUGAACUUCUUCUCAAGACACAGAUAAUUACAGGAAAAAUAAAACUCUUCAAAGCAUUAUUUUAAAAGUAAUCCUCCAUACUUUUAAAAGAAAAAUACCAAAAUCUGCAACUCCUUUCUUCCAAGUCUGUUAGUUUGACCACACCUCUGGGAUUUGAACACCGAUAUUCCUUCACUGUAUGGCACAUUCACUGAGAUUUGCAGUAUCUUCCCCCUUCAGAUCCUCAGUCAAGCUUUCUUUCUGCUCUAUUUCUACCUGGAGGAGGAAAAAGAACAUUGAUAAUGAGAAAAAAAAACAACCAAACGAAAAUUGAAAAAUCCUUAGUGGUCACUGCUCAGAUGAUGCAAGCCUUGGUAAAAUGAGAGGACUGUAAAGAGUAAUAGACUGAGGAGGGAAAGAUGGAUUUCAUUUACUGUAAGGGUUUCAAGUCAAAUCCAAACAAUUCUAUAAUUCAACAGUGUCAUAGCAAUUUCUGGAAGAAAAAACAUCAUUAAGAGAAUUGAUCUCAUUUUUUAUUCAUCCCCAGUCCCAUCUGUAUUUUGUAUCCAAAUCCAGAACCAAACCUGCAGAGCAUAGGUGGCUUUUUACAUGACAGCCUAGUCUCAGUUUUAAACUCUGCAAAGCAACUGAUGAAAGCAAAGAGAUUCAUUUGCAAAAGGCACACAUAUCUUUUUUCUGAAUUUUGAUACCUCCAAAAAUUCAGGGACAAUCGAAUGUCUAAUUCUUGGAAUGGAAGAUCAAAUAUAAUCUCUGGGGAAUUUCAGAUACUACGAAAAAUGUAAUAACAUUUCAUAUUAAAAAUAUUUGCCAUGGGAAUCUUUUCAGUAUCUCUCAUCAUUACUCUUACAAAAGGCAGGUAGAAUGCUUAUUUGUCUGCUGAGUGAUCAUCUACCAUGCAAGUCUGGCAUACUGAGAUUCUUGGCAGGUAUACAUAUUGUGUAUUUUUCCAUCUGUUCAUCUCCUUAGGGCAGGCAGAAAAAAACAAUAAGCGCAGAAGCAAUGUGAUCCUUCUGUCUGCUGUAGUACUCCCACUGUAGCAAAAGUCCCUGUUCACACUCCUAGUUUAUCAGCUUCUUCCCAGGAACUGGUUGUAUACAUGCUCUUCCACAAAGCCACUGUAAGCAGUAUUAGUCCAUUUUCACUGAGCCAUAAUCCACAGCUUGUCUGCCCCGAAUCUGCAGGCUGCACAUGGGGAGCCACUGCACAGAGCUUGACAUGUACCAAAUUCCCAUUUGUUUGCCUAGACUUUUCAAGACAAUGAAGUAUGCAAAGUAACCAUGGUGACUGACAAAUGCUUAUUUUUACCUUGUAACUGUAGUGUGCUGAAUAGUUGACCCACUUUCUCACACCAGUCUUGUCCUCAACAGAGAUGGACCGAACAGUGGCUUUGGAUGCAGAAGUAGUGGGCAUGUCAAAUUCCACAUCUACGUGGCGGACAAAACUGGAAGGCACUUCUCGGUCAGAGCCAAGCUCUAGGUGACAGAAGAAGCAGUGUGGAUGGCCAGAAGCUGGAAAAAGAGAGCAAACAGACAUGAAAGUUGUCUUGCUUUGUUGAGAGAAGAUUGCAUGUAGGUAAAAGCAGCAUCAUGAAACAGUAAGAAACCGAGAAUCUGCCUGGGCGAAAUACUUUGCGUCAAAUGUCAGGAUCUUAUCUGUUUUAAUGCCAUUGAAACUCCAUACUCUGGAGUAUCAGUUUGGUUUAAUUAGUAAAUAAAUUAAAUGAACUGCAAAAGAAUGACUGUCAAUCAGUCCAAUUUGCUUUCAGUGUGUGAAAAUUCAAGAUGUAAAUUAACCACCAUAGGUAAAGAUAUUUUCCCUCUUCUCAUUACCUCAGUCUAUGUAACAGGCUAAGAACACUGUGGCAUAUUCUUCUAAAAUAUCGUGUAUUGAUAGUAAAUAAAGGUAGAUUUGACAGAUAUUUCAUAGUUAUUUUUGAUAUGGUUAUCCCCAUUUAUUGUGAAAGCAAACAUACUGGAUAACAUUAAACUUUCCUGGGUUCAGAAAGCA